GACGAACGCUGGCGGCGUGCUUAACACAUGCAAGUCGAACGGAAAGGCCCUGCUUUUGUGGGGUACUCGAGUGGCGAACGGGUGAGUAACACGUGAGUAACCUGCCCUUGACUUUGGGAUAACUUCAGGAAACUGGGGCUAAUACCGGAUAGGAGCUCCUGCUGCAUGGUGGGGGUUGGAAAGUUUCGGCGGUUGGGGAUGGACUCGCGGCUUAUCAGCUUGUUGGUGGGGUAGUGGCUUACCAAGGCUUUGACGGGUAGCCGGCCUGAGAGGGUGACCGGCCACAUUGGGACUGAGAUACGGCCCAGACGCCUACGGGAGGCAGCAGUGGGGAAUAUUGCACAAUGGGCGGAAGCCUGAUGCAGCAACGCCGCGUGCGGGAUGACGGCCUUCGGGGUGUAAACCGCUUUCGCCUGUGACGAAGCGUGAGUGACGGUAAUGGGUAAAGAAGCACCGGCUAACUACGUG
rnacentral:rRNA from 1 species